ensembl:miRNA MIR8053 microRNA 8053
GCUUUUCCACUGGCGAUUUUGGAACUCAAUGGCAGAAAUGUCAAGAAGAGUUUUAUCCUUUGCCGAAAGAGAAAA